GCCUGGGUGGCUCAGUCGGUUAAGCGUCCGACUUCGGCUCAGGUCAUGAUCUCGCGGUUCGUGGGUUCGAGCCCCGCCUCGGGCU
rnacentral:tRNA from 1 species